CUCUAGCCAACUGAGCUAUUCCAGCUACACAUUCAUAAAUUGGAAAUUAAAUUAUACGAAUAAAACCGCUUGUGUGCCAGUUUGGUUUACACAACCAGGCCGUAGGGCACAGGCCCACGAAAACAAAUCUCCCUCCGCCCUCCGCACUGGGCCGUGCCUCUCAUCCCGCUUCGCUGCUGCUUCUGCUCCGCGCCGCGCUCCCGCCGGCGUCGCCUCAGCAGCUCUCCAGCCGGCCAACCGCCGCACGGANN
rnacentral:lncRNA from 1 species